rnacentral:rRNA from 1 species
GACGAACGCUGGCGGCGUGCUUAACACAUGCAAGUCGAACGGAAAGGCCCUGCUUUUGUGGGGUGCUCGAGUGGCGAACGGGUGAGUAACACGUGAGUAACCUGCCCUUGACUUUGGGAUAACUUCAGGAAACUGGGGCUAAUACCGGAUAGGAGCUCCUGCUGCAUGGUGGGGGUUGGAAAGUUUCGGCGGUUGGGGAUGGACUCGCGGCUUAUCAGCUUGUUGGUGGGGUAGUGGCUUACCAAGGCUUUGACGGGUAGCCGGCCUGAGAGGGUGACCGGCCACAUUGGGACGGAGAUACGGCCCAGACUCCUACGGGAGGCAGCAGUGGGGAAUAUUGCACAAUGGGCGGAAGCCUGAUGCAGAAACGCCGCGUGCGGGAUGACGGCCUUCGGGUUGUAAACCGCUUUCGCCUGUGACGAAGCGUGAGUGACGGUAAUGGGUAAGAAGCACCGGCUAACUACGUG